rnacentral:lncRNA from 1 species
GACUCCUUGCGGUCCGCCAUCUUGGGGAGGUCGCCUCUGGAACUGGAGGAGGAGCCCGCGGAGUGCCUCGGAGACGAUACCGGUCCCUUUACUCUCGGUCGGGGAAGCCGGUCCUGCCACACCUCAGGGCUGGAAACGGCUUUCUAGUUAUCGUUUUUCUGGAGGCUAUAAGAUCCCCAAGCGUGGGAAUCGGAGGGGAGAUAAUAAAACUAGGUGGAGCUUGAGCAGAAGUGAGAAGACGGUGAAGGUCUUUUUAAAAAGUAAGUAUUGUUUCUGGUAGGGCAAUAAAAGUUAUACUUUUCAACUAUCUGA